UACAGAGGUCUCAAGCGUUGUUCGGAUUCAUUGGGCGUAAAGGGUGCGUAGGUGGCGCCGUAAGUCAGGUGUGAAAUCUCGGGGCUCAACCCCGAAACUGCACUUGAUACUGCGGUGCUCGAGUACUGGAGAGGAGAUUGGAAUUUACGGUGUAGCAGUGAAAUGCGUAGAUAUCGAGAGGAACACCAGUGGCGAAGGCGGCGUUCUGGACUGUAACUGACACUGAGGAACGAAAGCCAGGGGAGCAAACGGG
rnacentral:rRNA from 1 species